GACGUAGGGCGCGAGCGUGUCCGGAUUUAUUGGGCGUAAAGAGCUCGUAGGCGGCUUGUCGCGUCGUCCGUGAAAACUUGGGGCUCAACCCCAAGCUUGCGGUCGAUACGGGCAGGCUCGAGUUCGGUAGGGGAGACUGGAAUUCCUGGUGUAGCGGUGAAAUGCGCAGAUAUCAGGAGGAACACCGGUGGCGAAGGCGGCCCUCUGGACGAAUACUGACGCUGAGACGCGAAAGCGUGGGGAGCAAACAGG
rnacentral:rRNA from 1 species